UCAGAGGCCUGUGUACUUCAAUUUCAUUAG
rnacentral:piRNA from 1 species